AAGCAGGCUUCCUUUGAAGCUACCCACUGUUUAAAAAAAAGAAUGG
rfam:Mesocricetus auratus contig012123, whole genome shotgun sequence.